AAGCUUAAAAAACACCAUUAGAAUUCACAAAGGUUUACUGAGCUGCGUAGAUACAUUAUCAGUCACAUUAGUCUUUGAUUUAGACUGUUUCUCCUGAGUACUCUUAUUGAUAAAUAUCAUUUCAAGCCCUGGUUCCUCUAAUAUUAGAAUCCUUCACAGACUGAAUAAUUGCUUAAACCUAGGCAGUUACCCCUCAGUGUGGAAAACUCCAAAUUAGAUGAUACAUUUUUAAAUGUCCCGUGGAACAUUCUAUAAGAUAUGCAAAAAAGUAACGAUGAUAAAGGAAACUGGCCUUUGUUAGCUGUUUGUAGGGUGAACUAUUCUGCAUAUCUUUUAUUCAUUGGUCUUUAUCUCUCCACAUCACUGUCUAUAUCUCUCGUUUGACUUAUCCCGAACCAGUCUGAAGAAGGGUCUCGACCUGAAACGUCACCUGUUGUUAGCUGUGUGCUAGGUGAGAAUGAGCACAGACAAUGAGACUCAACAGGAGAACUUUGAAGCUGGUACGACUUGGGUGAGGGAGGGAAGGAGUGAGGAGGGAUGCUGUUUUGUCCUGCACUUUUCAUUCUCUUUUGCCCAAUUCUCUCACUCUUUUUCUGUCUCUUUAUGAGAGGUAGCAAUAAGCUCUUCUCUGAGAUUUCAGCAUAGUGGUUGUGAUGCAAAAAUGCAGGACACAUUUAGUUAUAAGAAAUCAAUGGUCUGCAUUUGCCACACAAUAAUUUACAAAAAAUAUGUAAACAUUUCAUCGAUGUCUUUCAGAGAUUCAUCAAUACAGAUUCCUUAUGUAAACAGGUUGAUAAUAUAUUCAAUAAACAAGCCCCUUAUUAACUCACCAGCCAAUUGCUUUUUAACAUAUCGUAAAGAUGCAUUUGAUUAAAAUGGUAAGAGGAUAUAAUCAACAUAAUUCAUGGCACUUUGAUGAGAACUGGUUAAUGUCACAUCAGGUGAAGAGUAUUAACAUUCUCUACAGCUCAUUAACACAGAAUUAAAGUAACUAGACAAAGAGGCAAGGUUUCUGGAA